AUUGAACGCUGGCGGCAGGCCUAACACAUGCAAGUCGGGCGAGUGGCGGACGGGUGAGUAAUGUAUGGGGAUCUGCCUGAUGGAGGGGGAUAACUACUGGAAACGGUAGCUAAUACCGCAUACCAUCAGAUGAACCCAUAUGGGAUUAGCUUGUAGGUGAGGUAACGGCUCACCUAGGCGACGAGCCCUAGCUGGUCUGAGAGGAUGAUCGGCCACACUGGGAAGUAGACACGGCCCAGACUCCUAAGUGAGGCAGAAGGUGAGAAUAUUGCACAAUGGGCGCAAGCCUAAUACAGCCAUGCCGAGUGUAGGAAGAAGGCCUUCGGGUUGUAAAGUCCUUUCAGUCGGGAGGCGUUACCGACAGAAGAAGCACCGGCUAACUCCGUGCCAGCAGCCGCGGUAAUAC
rnacentral:rRNA from 1 species